rnacentral:rRNA from 1 species
GCCUCCUGGUCAUUUACCUCCACCCAUACACCUGAUCUCAUAUGAUCCUGGAAGCUAAGCAAGCUUGGGCCUGAUUAGUACUUAGAUGGGAAAGCACCUGAGAAAAAUGGAUGCUGUAGGUU